rnacentral:rRNA from 1 species
UACGGGGGGUGCAAGCGUUGUCCGGAAUCAUUGGGCGUAAAGCGUUCGUAGGCUGUAUGACAAGUCCGGUGUCAAAUGCCGAGGCUCAACUUCGGAUCCGCACUGGAUACUGGCAAACUUGAAUAUGGCAGAGGUAAAGGGAAUUCCUGGUGUAGCGGUGAAAUGCGUAGAUAUCAGGAGGAACAUCGGUGGCGAAAGCGCUUUACUGGGCCAUCAUUGACGCUGAGGAACGAAAGCCGGGGGAGCAAAU